GGGUGGGCAAUUAAGCUCUUCCUCACAUUUCCUAAUCAUUAUAUAAAGGGGCACAUUUGGUUCUUUUAAUAAACUUAAAUACUUGUCCUCUCCAUCAUACUAUUUUUGGCAGACAAUAGUAGAGUAAUUCCACUGCAAAUAUGUUUUUAACCAUUUGGGAUUAAAAUCUGGGCUGAAGAUGCUAUAAUGAUUCAAAUAUGAUCUUCAAUGGCUUAGAGGUAAAAUUCCACGAAAAAGGGAAAUUAACCUUAAA
rnacentral:misc_RNA from 1 species